CACCAUUUAAACCAUAUCUUUUUUAGACUUGGUUUAGUCAUGAAGAUUUGACCCUAUCUUUGUAGAGUCUUCUUUGUAAAGUAUUGACUGUUUGCUAACACAAGUCUUUAGUUGUGACAAUUUGUAUUCAACUUGAAAGACGAGUGUUUGGUAUGUCACUUGUUCAUUUUAAGGAGUAACUUGUGUGCCCCUUUUUCUAAA
rnacentral:misc_RNA from 1 species